CAAGGACAAGGGCAGAGCCUGGAACAUAUGCCCUGGGAUCCCAAAGUAAGACCAGUAGUGACUGGAUGAGCAUCCAUAGACCCCAUUCAUACUAGUCACUGUGUGAAGCUGGAGAAUGAUCCCAGGAAUUCACUACAAGAUUCAGUGGCUUCUCUAGAAAUUCAGAAAUGGAACUACUAAAGAUACCAUAAGUGCCUUGCCAUCAAGUGGAUUACCUGUGGAGAAGACAAAUGUG
rnacentral:lncRNA from 1 species